UUUUUUUUUAAUACUCUCUAUGCUCUGUUUAUAAACCAUGAGGAUGUGGAGGUUUUGUCUUGCGUGGAAGUUCAAUAAAACUUGUUUUCUCUCAAGAUGAUUGAACUGUUGCUUGGCACAACACCUCGGGACUCAGGUGGGUCUAUGAGAUUUUGGAAUUAAAUUUCCAUUUCAUGGUGUUUCUUCUCCAUCUCAUCAGGCUAACUAAUGCUUGUAGCCACAAUGGAUUUCAAUGCUGUUGAGCUAAUCGUGUUUUGGCUUAGGCAAAGAUAAGUUCUCUUUUUUCACCAAACCACCCUUUUGGUGAAAUUACAAAUGACCUUCCAUUUUUCUUAUUUUUAUUACUCUCUUCAGUAUAACUCAAAAUGACAAUCAAACAUAUUCUCUCUUGAGCUAACAACUGUUGCUUGACAUGUCAUCUUAUGUUCUUCUUUUUAUGUUUGUUAUUCUUAUAAGUUGUGUACUCCUGGUUUAAACUUUAGCCCAGUUUACACAGGUAUCUGUCUCUAUAGGCAUUGGGACCCACUAUGUUAAGGUGAAUGACAAUGGUAAGUGUUAGCAUCUUUGACAUUGAUCUAAUGCAUUUUGAUGUGCAGAAAGUUCUUUGUAAAUAUAUUUUUUGUUGAUUACUACUGUAUGUAAAGAUGUUUGGAUUAUUUAUUCUAGCUGAAGUUGAGCUGGAACAUACAUAUUGUUGCUUAGGUAUUUCUAGCCCAACUUAUGGAAACCGUAUAUGUGCCUGUUUCUUUCAUCUUCGGUUAUGCUUCCUUUUUGUCUAGCCAUUUUAACUAUGGUUUCGUAUGCUUCCUUUACACCAGCGACAUCAAAAUACAGCCAUUCAGAUGAUAAGCAUGCUUUCCCAGCAAGCUUUGGUUUUAAAAGAGAGGCUUUGAGCUCUUUCUGACAUUUCUUUGUUGGAAAUUGUUACUAAAGCUCACGGGAGGCCAAAUGGAUAUCGUAAGGUUUUGAAGCAAGUGUUUUUUCCUCGGAAUUGAUGAUUGUAGACAAAAUGUUGGUACACCAGGUAAUUCUGUAUAAACCUACCUGAUACAAGAGUUGACUGGUGUUUGCUAAUAAGGAAAUUUGUUUGGAUUUUUCUUCUUACAGUCAUUGUUCGUGAUAUAUUUACAACCAACCAGUUUGAAGGAAGCAAAUGCACUCCAAGUACUUUUAGUUUUCUCACAACAAAUGAAAAAUAUUGAUUUACAUACUUUACUUCUAAAGCUGUACUCUGACCUGGUUGAUAUUUUGGUUUGCAUAUAUAAUCUGGAAGGCCAAAGAAGGUCAUUCAUUCUCUGAAAGAGUCUCUGCUAAGAAUCGCCCUUGUGCAUCCCAGUGUCUCCAAAAUUGUUGAUAUAGAAAGGCCUGGUCUGUCUUUGUUACACUAGUUAACUUAAGGAUAUUUUAUAUCUGGUUUCUUAGAUUUUGUUCAUUGCAAGCAGUGAGGAUGACGUGCUUUGCACGCAUUAUUCUUCUUCUCUGUUGCCGCUACUGUCCAGUGAGUUUGGGAUUUAUCAAAGUGAGGUUGACCUGCUUUGCACACGUGCUUCUCCUUCUCCGUUACCACUAUUGUCCGGUGGGUUGGGAUUCAGUAAAGUGAGGUUGACCUGUUUUGCACACGUGCUUCUCCUUCUCCAUUGCCACUAUUGUCCAGUGGGUUUGGGAGUCAUCUGAGUUCCCUUAACAAAUUGAAUGCAAGGGAUGGUUCAUUCAAGCUCUCAGGAUACAUUUCAUGUCCUGAUGUUUACACAAUGAAUGUAUACAUGCCCAAAUUGAUGGAUAAGAGAUGUGAUAAGUCAUCUUUUCUACUCUCUGUUUCCUAACAACCACUGUUUAAUUUGCAGGUCCUUCAAUAUUUAUGUAUCCACUUAUUUCAGUAUAUUUUCCUGACAAAAGAAAAAUGGAAAACUAAUUAUUGGUUAACGUUUUCUAUAUUGGAUGCUUGUUGUUAAUGAUGUUUUUGUUUUCCUUGACCUUUGUAAUGCAGAUAUCAAUUCAAGAUUUGUUUCCAAAGGACCAAUACAUAAAUUACUUAAUAAUAUAGCUAUGAGUUUAGACAGUGCUUUUGACAUUUUGAAGCGAAGUAGAUCUCAGAUAUAUCCACUGUUUCUGUUGAACCUAAACUUUCCUAGAUCUUUUAUAUGAUUUGAAUUUGGAGCCUUCAAAGACCUCUGUGGAAUUUAAGGUGAGAUUUUUUGUUGGGAUUUAUGAUUUAACUUGUUUUGGGGUUGGGAAAAGAAUGUGAGGCUUUGGAUUUAUUUUAUAGAAUUUUUUUCUUAAUUUAAAAGUGGGCAUGAGCUCAUUUAUUAAGUUAAAAGGAACUAACAAUAUUUACAAUGACCAGGCCCAACUGAAACCCGGUCCAACAAAUAACUAAAGCAAAAACAAAAGUAAAACUAAAAAUAGAAACAAACAGGAAAUCAAGUCUCAGACAAACAAUCUGAGACCUGAUGCUUGUCGAAGCAGCUCAAUCCUUCUCUCUUCAUCUUCUUUGAAGGCUGCGAGUUAGAGAGUUUUUCCCCAUGGAUGAGAUUCAGGUAAGCUCAAGUAUAAUCAUCUUCUGCUACAACAACCUCUCCAUGAAAUGCUAAAUCAAGCAAACACCAAGCUUAGCCGAAUUUCAGAACCAUUGAACUGGUGCAGUGGCGCAUAUCCCUUGUUGAAUCAUCGAGGUAAGUAGAUCAGAACUGAAAUGACCUGCUGCGAAGACUUCUUAUCUAGAAAUAAUCAAUUCCUGCUUUCUACAGUCAGACAUUAUGAUAAUUAAAUCAAAAUUGAGGCUCGAUCAACCUAUCUAAGAUUAGCAAGUGUUUUUUUUUGUGAGAAUUGGUUUGAGUUGUUUUCUGUAAAAUAAAUUUCAGAACACUAAAAUCAUUUUUUGAAACUUCAAUAUGGGUGAAAUUAAUAGGUUAAAAGUGGCUAAACAUCAUUAUUUAUUACAAAUCAUAUAGGAUUUCGAAGUAUUAAAAAGGACCCCCUGACCGACAAGGUCCUUGCAUUACAGCUGUUCCCGCAGAACAAAAAAAUCUCCCUAUUCUUAUGGGAGAACAAUGCAAAACCAUGUUUUCUGGCUUCUUUUGGUUGCAAAACCAAAUAGGCCAAUGUUAAGAAGGACAUGUCAUACAUAUUUGUUUUAGUGAUUGGAGUACUGUAUUUCGUAUUACAAUGUGUUUGCUGUUUUCCAGGACUGACAAUUCUUCCAGUUUGAACUUAGUCUCCUGGUUUUUGCUUACCCAAUCAUUUCUGCUUCCGUUUAAAUGGAUUUUGCAAUUUCCCUCAAAAUGUAUGUCAAUUUUCAUAGAUAUAGAUAUUUGCUACAUCAAUCUUCUUGGAGCCUUGCUAUCUUUUGGAGAUGGUGACAUCCAGCUAUAUAUUGAUUUGUUGAUUUCUGGCCCAAGAAUUUUUUUUGAACUGAUAUGGUUCUUUUUCGUUUCUCUCUUAGUUUUCGACUGCAGAUGAUGGACUAGAUCAAACUUGAGAACUGUUGCACUUUUUAGGAUUACAUUGUCUGAUUCUGUAGACAUUUUUCUAUGAACUGGAUAAGAAGCUAUUGACUUCUAUGCCAUGUUAUUUUUUAGAUAUGCUGGUUAUACCAGCUCAGGAUUUCUGCGUUGUAUACCAUAUUUAGGUUAGCAGAGGUGUGGUUUGACUUAUCACCACAAAAAGAAAGGAAAAAGAGGGGAGAGGGGGAAGAGGCGAAGUGUGGUUCUUGUUUGUCUAUUAGAACGUGUCACUUGUUCAUUUUUGUUCCAUGUUAGAUGUGCAAUCUAAUUGCCUGAAAUGUUGUGUAGCAUUUUACUCCCUUUGUUGGCACCAUAGAUACUGAUUGUGUUAAUCUCAUAAAGCUAUUUUGAUGUGUUUUACAAGAAUCUCAGCUUCGGGUCCAUACUUCUCCACAAGCCCUACUCUCAGAGAAAAAUGGCCACAUCCAAUAACUGACAUCUUUCCAGCCAACCUACUAUCAGCAAGUAUGCAAAAGCCACUCAGCUUCAGAUCCAUACUCCUCCACAAGCCUUACUCUCAGAGAAAAAUAGCUGAUGCAAUUGCUGUCUUUAGUCAACAAAGUAAAUGAGGACUAAAGUGCAGGGAGAGGACUUAUAUAACAUUUACGACCUUACAGGGUUGAAAUGACCAAUCAGCAGGUAUUAGUACUGCAGAAGCUUAUAGCAUGGGCACGAUAUGAAAUGUAGUAAGGAGAUUUUAGUAGAAUCACAACCAUAAGUCUUAUGUAUUAACUCACUUCAGUAAAAUAAUAUACCGAGUGGCUACAGAAUACAUCAAGUACCUUGUCAGUGGUAGCUUUCUGGAGAUGUUUAUAUAAAUCUGAAUGCUUUUUUCCCAAAUUCUCGUUCAAAUGAUGAAAGGAGCACUAUAUUGCAUGAGAAGAAGAGCUAAAAGUCAGAAAAAUAUGCAGCACAGCUUCUGCAUAAAUGCUCAACCUAAGCUUCCAGACGAGAAAUUUCAAAUGCCCAAGAUGCUUCAGAAUGAACAGAUGAAAGAUGAGCAAAUUUUAAGUUUAAAUGCUUGGAUCCCCUCCAUAUUCCUAGAACAGUUCUACGUAACAAGUUAGAAAGAAAGUAAUUACAU